GCUGUGAUGGCUGAGUAGUUACGGCAUUGUACUUGGAAUCCAAAGGGGAUUCCCUGUGCAGGUUCAAAUCCUGCUCACAGCA